rnacentral:rRNA from 1 species
UACGUAGGGUGCAAGCGUUGUCCGGAAUUAUUGGGCGUAAAGAGCUCGUAGGCGGUUUGUUGCGUCGGCUGUGAAAUCCCGAGGCUCAACCUCGGGCUUGCAGUGGGUACGGGCAGACUAGAGUGCGGUAGGGGUGACUGGAAUUCCUGGUGUAGCGGUGGAAUGCGCAGAUAUCAGGAGGAAUACCGAUGGCGAAGGCAGGUCUCUGGGCUGACACUGACGCUCAUGCACGAAAGCGUGGGGAGCAAACAGGA